rnacentral:rRNA from 1 species
GACGAACGCUGGCGGCGUGCCUAAUACAUGCAAGUCGAACGCAGUGGGGACGGGUGAGUAACACGUGGGUAACCUCCCCUCAGAGGGGAUAACACUUGGAAACAGGUGCUAAACCGAUACUGAUGGAUGGACCCGCGGUGCAUUAGCUGGGUGGUGAGGUAACGGCGAACCAAGGCCACGAUGCAUAGACGACCGGAGAGGGUGAUCUGCCACACUGGAAAUGAGACACGGCCCAGACACCGACGGGAGGCAGCAGUAGGGAAUCUGCGGCAAUGGACGAAAGUCUGACCGAGCAACGCCGAGUGAGUGAAGAAGGUUUUCGGAUCGUAAAACUCUGUUGUUAGAGAAGCGGUAUCUAACCAGAAAGCCACGGCUAACUACGUGCCAGCAGCCGCGGUAAUUC